UCCGGUUGAUCCUGCCGGACCUGACUGCUAUCGGAUUGGUACUAAGCCAUGCGAGUCGUUGUAGCAAUACAAGGCGGACGGCUCAGUAACACGUAGUCAACCUAACCUAUGGACGUGGAUAACCUCGGGAAACUGAGAAUAAACCGCGAUAGAUCAUUAUGCCUGGAAUGGCUUAUGGUUCAAACAAUUUAUUGCCGUAGGAUGGGACUGCGGCCUAUCAGCUUGUUGGUGAGGUAAUGGCCCACCAAGGCUAUAACAGGUACGGGCUCUGAGAGGAGAAGCCCGGAGAUGGGUACUGAGACACGGACCCAGGCCCUAUGGGGCGCAGCAGGCGAGAAACCUUAGCAAUGUGCGAAAGCACGACUAGGUUAAUCCGAGUGAUUUCUGUUGAAGAAAUCUUUUGUCAGUCGUAAAACCACAGACGAAUAAGGGGUGGGCAAGUCUGGUGUCAGCCGCCGCGGUAAUACCAGCACCUCGAGUGGUCAGGAGGUUUAUUGGGCCUAAAGCAUCCGUAGCCGGCUACGCAAGUCUCCGGUUAAAUCCAGCUGCUCAACAGAUGGGCUGCCGGAGAUACUACAUAGCUAGGGAGCGGGAGAGGUAGACGGUAUUCUGUGGGUAGGGGUAAAAUCCACUGAUCCAUAGAGGACCACCAGUGGCGAAGGCGGUCUACCAGAACGCGUUCGACGGUGAGGGAUGAAAGCUGGGGGAGCAAACCGGAUUAGAUACCCGGGUAGUCCCAGCUGUAAACGAUGCAAACUCGGUGAUGCAUUGGCUUAUGGCCAAUGCAGUGCCGCAGGGAAGCCGUUAAGUUUGCCGCCUGGGAAGUACGGACGCAAGUCUGAAACUUAAAGGAAUUGGCGGGGGAGCA
rnacentral:rRNA from 1 species